rnacentral:lncRNA from 1 species
UCAACUUCAAUACAAAAGAUCCAUUUCCAAAUUCCCACCCCGCCCGGUCCAACGACACUAUUUUCAUUACCCCUUCAUCUGAGCCGUUAAACUCGUUUGAUCCAACGAUCACCAGUGAGCGUUACAUUUUAGUUUAAUUGUCCGAAAAUCCCAUAACCCUAAACGACAUUCUUCAUCUUCCUCGUACCCCUCUGCUGCACCACCGUCUGCCGCCGCCGGCGAAGCUCCAAACCACUCCAAAAUCACACCCCAUGCUCCUCUCCCCUUCCUCUUUCUAUAUCCAUGUUCAGUUUUCCUCGAAUCAGUUCCCAUAUUCUCGAAUAUUUGUUCGAAAUUCAUGACCAGAACCCUAAAUUCCCUAAAUCACACGCAAAUUGGUACCCCUUAACCACCAGACCCCCCUCGCCUAGUAUCUAUCCUCUUCCUCUCUCAAAUGCCGGUCAAAUCCCUCAAAAGUCGAAUGUGAAGAACCAAAACUCGCGUAUGCUAGGAUUCUGCGCUUUUUCUUUGAAGUUUUGAAAUUGAGCUCUUAGGAUGGUAAGUUUUCUUUAUAUUUUGUGUUUAUAGUUGUUUGUUUUCUUUCCUCUAUCAUUCCCCUUCCAUUUCUGUUGUCUUCUUACUCUCUCCGAGUUCCUUUUGGGUUCAAAUUUAUUUAUCAUUUCUGCUUGGUUUAAUUGCUUAGUUUAAUUAGGUCGUUCUAAUAAUUGAAUCAGUUUCCGGCAUAUUAGUGUUAAUUAAUCAACAAUUCAACCUAGGUUUGCCCUUUAGAUAUUAGCUUUGCAUUUACAUUUGUUUUUGAGCUAUUCAGUUUAGAUUUAGUUAAAUGAUUGUUAGGUGAUUUUUGAUGUUCGAUUCUGUUCUUUCAUGGUUCUGUUCGUGGGUUGUUCUUAUUAGUGAGAUUUUGUUAGUUUUCUUUCCUCUAUUAAUCUAAUUCGGUUUGGUAUAAUGUGAAUUAUUCAUAAGUGUUCUUUUGGUAAUUGGUAGUUAAUUUGGAGUUCAUAAGAGAUAAAACUAGGCCUGUUCUUCAAUAAUUAGUAAAUCAGAAUUUGAGGAAACUCUUUGGUCAUAGUUAGUAAUUUUAUUGAAUAAGAGGGGUAAUUGGGGUAAUACAUGGGUAGGGAAUCUUUUAAAUCAGAAUGGAGUCCCCUAUGACAUUCUAGAUGGGGUUCACUUUAGAAUUCUACAAAGUUUGGUGGUAUAACUUGGGAAACAAGUCAGUUCUUUACGGAUACUUAAGCAAAAACGAAAAUUAGGAAAGGAUGUAAUGCAAAACUGAAAAUUUGAGGGUUGCCCCUUAUUUUUGCCUACAUAAGGCACCUUUUUUGACAAGUUUGGUAGCCUAAUAAUCUCCCCCAAAAUAAUCUCCAAGCGUCCAGAUCUGAAAUUGAGAUUUCAGAUAUGAAAAUUCCUUUGAGUUGGGCUCCUGUUAGUCAAAAAUUCCUCCCAAUUAGCAUUUGCUCUAGUUUCUUUUGUCCAGAUUAAGUUUUACAUUUUUUUUUUUGAAAGUUAAAAUCCAAAAACAGGAGAAAAACACAGAAAAGCCUUCAAAGAAUAUGAGAAAUGUACUGUUUCAGUGAGAUAUCUUAGGCUGAUUUCAGUUUCCGUCGGGAAUUCCAAUUUUUUUAGUCAUUAUUUGAUAGUUGAAUCUUCAGGUGGUCACUGGCUCAAUUUCGAGCAGUUUUGGAUCUAUUUGGGUUGGAUUUUGUUAAGUUUUGGGUUUGGAAAUAUGCUGAUGCUUUCUGAAUACAAUUGAUUGCAUCUCAAGUUUGGUUUGGUUUAAUCUGCUAGUUCUUGUUGAAUUUUGAACUUUUAUGGAUUUAGAACCUAUUCCUUAGCUGUUGGUUAUUCGAUAACUGUUGGAUAUUUUUUGUUGCUGCUACUGUGCUGAGGCUGAUCUUCUCUUCUUCUAUUUGUGUCAAUUUCAAAGUAAAUUUCCUAAUUCAUUGAGAUGUAAAGUUGAAAAACGAAUUGAAAUGGCAGCUGGAAUAAGAUUGACUGUUUUCCCAUCUUGUUCGUUGCACUACUGUAAUUAGUAUAGAUUAAUUCACCUUGGAUGUUUGAUUCAUUUAGAAUUGCAAUGGGUUAUUGAACUGGGAAUUGAGUUGUAUGUUUUCAGUUUUAAGUGUGGUAUGUGUGAAGUAUUCUUGGUACGACUUGGUUAAUCAUUUAGUGCAAUUGAAUAUGAUCGAAAAUGGGACUAUGGCAUUAUUCGGAUUUGAUGAUGCUUGUUUUGUAUUGCUACAAGGUAUUAAUGAUAGGUUGCUCGCUAAUUUUCAUAAUUCAUCAUGAAAUUCUUCAUUAGGAUAUAAUAGUUGAUGCUUGAGCAUCUACAUGAAUUCAUCUUCUUUAGUAGUCAGUAGCUGAAUUUCAAAUAAAUUGGACGGUAAUAUCGUCAGUAUCUGAAUACCAUGUUCAUUAGGUUAAGUGGAGUUGAAAAUUAAUUUGAAUUGAGGGUGCAUUCUCACAUUGGGGUUUGGGUAAAACGUUGACAAUAUUGUUGGUUUCAGAUUGUAAUUGAGU